rnacentral:lncRNA from 1 species
AUUCCUUGGACUUAUCGUUUAAGCAUAUAACAUUUAUAUGAGACGGCUCAAACAAUAAUCUUUGCCCUUUAUAGUUAAACUAGAUUAGUUUAACAUGUGAAAUGUUCGUAAAGUAUCAUCAUACGAUUGGUUUUAAGGCACAUUUCCAACACUUCCUAGCCCAUUCUUGGAAGGCUCGUUGUUGCUCUCGAAGACCGGAAGAUACGGCAUAAUGCUUUGAAGAUUUCAACCUUGUCUUAAGUUGCCCGAAUUCUUCAAAAAGUUCGGGCAACUUAGCAGUUUUUGAAAAUAAAGAAAAAGAAGGAGGACUUCCCGGUCUUCUCAAUUCCAGGAUGGGAAAUCCCGGCACUUCCAAAAGUUAAAUGAGGCUGGGGGAGCUUUGACUUACGAACCAAGCGAGGAGGAGAAGUUUCUUUCAGAACUUGCUGCAAAGACCAAAGAAGACCAGAUUAAGACAAAAAUACAGUUUGAAGCAAAGGGAACCUUUGGGAAGAAGAAAUAUACCUGAUUGAGCCCUGGGGCUUCACAAGGAAGAGUACCAAUUCCUGGUUGAGGGGAACACUCUCUACCACUGAUUGGGGAAGAAAAAGUUGUCCCUGAACCUUUGCCAAUGCCCUAGAAGUAUCCAGGGAUAGCAACAAUUGUUAGUAAGCAGAUUGUAAGAGGAAAACAGGAAGAAGGAGGUUCAUCGAUGGUAACUAUCGGGCAAGCAAACAUCUGCAAAACCGCUACCUCUGAGGUCACAGGAAUCUUAAGGACUAUGGGUUCAUCACUUAUUGCCACUGACGGUUGAGGUGGUUCAUAUAAUGGAGAAGGCUGCAAGAAAUAUGAAUAAAAGUUAAUAUGGAAGCAAUGCACAGAAAGUUAAUGUAAGGACAGUUACUCACCAAAUUACUGUCCUCAUCUACAAAGUGCAACAUAACUCCUGUAGAUGGAUCAAAUUGAGAAGAUUGAGCUACCUCCAGGGCAGAAGGAGAAAUCAAAGACUUCAAAAGAUAACCUUGACUAAGCAAGGGGGCAGAUACCCCGACCUGGAUGAAGAUAGAAAAAGAGAAAGGUUCAGGCAUUAACUCCAGAGACUAUAAAGUUACCCAAGGUUCAAGAAGGAAGGGAAUGCACCUCUGAAGGAUUAACCCGGGAAUGAGAGAGGCUUGUUUCUCGGGCAAGUGGCGAAGAGGCCUCGGGCGGACGAAGCUUUUCCACUCUUGCAGCCUGACUCAAGUAAUCAUGCUCAGGGUUUUGUGGAAGCAGGAAAGAUUAUGCAGACAUAAACAUAAAUUACCUCAAGUUCUUUAAGGGUGAUGUUUCGCAAUUCUUCAGCCUUUUUGUACAUUUCAGCUCCUAAUGGAUCCUCCUUAGAAGCAAUGGUUGGUUUCUUGGAUGCUUAAGGUCCUAUUUCCAAGGAAAACAAGGGUAAUUAGAUAAAGAAGAAGGGUGGCAAUCUGAUAAAGAAGAACAAAAACUCACUUGAAAACUUUUGCUUCUUCCUGCCUG